AAAGGAAUUGACGGGGACCCGCACAAGCGGUGGAUUAUGUGGAUUAAUUCGAUGCAACGCGAAAAACCUUACCUACCCUUGACAUGUCAGGAAGUUUCCAGAGAUGGAUUCGUGCCCGAAAGGGAACCUGGACACAGGUGCUGCAUGGCUGUCGUCAGCUCGUGUCGUGAGAUGUUGGGUUAAGUCCCGCAACGAGCGCAACCCUUGCCAAUAAUUGCCAUCAUUCAGUUGGGCACUUUAUUGGGACUGCCGGUGAUAAACCGGAGGAAGGUGGGGAUGACGUCAAGUCCUCAUGGCCCUUAUGGGUAGGGCUUCACACGUAAUACAAUGGUCGGUACAGAGGGUAGCCAACCCGCGAGGGGGAGCCAAUCUCAGAAAGCCGAUCGUAGUCCGGAUUGUUCUCUGCAACUCGAGAGCAUGAAGUCGGAAUCGCUAGUAAUCGCGGAUCAGCAUGUCGCGGUGAAUACGUUCCCGGGUCUUGUACACACCGCCCGU
rnacentral:rRNA from 1 species